rnacentral:rRNA from 1 species
UAGGGAAUCUUCCACAAUGGGCGAAAGCCUGAUGGAGCAACGCCGCGUGUGUGAUGAAGGGUUUCGGCUCGUAAAACACUGUUGUAAGAGAAGAAUGACAUUGAGACGUAACUGUUCAAUGUGUGACGGUAUCUUACCAGAAAGGAACGGCUAAAUACGUGCCAG